rnacentral:rRNA from 1 species
AUUGAACGCUGGCGGCAGGCCUAACACAUGCAAGUCGAAUGGUAACACGAAACACCUUGCUGUUUCGCUGUCGAGUGGCGGACGGGUGAGUAAUGUCUGGGAAACUGCUUGAUGGAUGGGGAUAACUACUGGAAACGGUAGCUAAUACCGCAUAACUUCGCAAGACCAAAGAGGGGGACCUUCGGGCCUCUUGCCAUCAGCUUUGCCCAGAUGGGAUUAGCUAGUAGGUGGGGUAACGGCUCACCUAGGCCACGAUCACUAGCUGGUCUGAGAGGGUGACCGGCCACACUGGAACUGAGACACGGUCCAGACUCCUACGGGAGGCAGCAGUGGGGAAUAUUGCGCAAUGGGCGAAAGCCUGAUGCAGCCAUGCCGCGUGUAUGAAGAAGGCCUUCGGAUUGUAAAGUACUUUCAGCGGGGAGGAAGGGAGUAAAGUUAAUACCUUUGCUCAUUGACGUUACCCGCAGAAGAAGCACCGGCUAACUACGUG